AUACGUAGGUGGCGAGCGUUGUCCGGAAUUACUGGGUGUAAAGGGCGUGUAGGCGGGGAUGCAAGUCAGAUGUGAAAUACCAUGGCUCAACUGUGGGGGUGCAUCUGAAACUGUGUUUCUUGAGUGCUGGAGAGGAAAGCGGAAUUCCUAGUGUAGCGGUGAAAUGCGUAGAUAUUAGGAGGAACACCAGUGGCGAAGGCGGCUUUCUGGACAGUAACUGACGCUGAGGCGCGAAAGCGUGGGGAGCAAACAGGAUUAGAUACCCUGGUAGUCCACGCCGUAAACGAUGGAUACUAGGUGUAGGAGGUAUCGACCCCUUCUGUGCCGGAGUUAACACAAUAAGUAUCCCACCUGGGGAGUACGGUCGCAAGACUGAA
rnacentral:rRNA from 1 species